ensembl:snoRNA
AUUAGUUGAAAAUCACCCCUGGGCUUUGGCCAUGGCUGCAGGUGCGAUUCGAUGCCCAGAGCCUCCAGGGCCUCAGCUCACCGCACACUGCCCGUGUGUGGUGGUGAAACCCAGACCCUAACAGGU